AGAGCGAACGCUGGCGGCAGGCCUAACACAUGCAAGUCGAGCGGCCGUAGCAAUACGGCAGCGGCAGACGGGAGAGUAAUACGUGGGAACGCGCCCUUCGGUUCGGAAUAACUCAGGGAAACUUGGGCUAAUACCGGAUACGCCCUUACGGGGAAAGAUUUAUUGCCGAAGGAACGGCCCGCGUCCGAUUAGCUUGUUGGUGAGGUAACGGCUCACCAAGGCGACGAUCGGUAGCUGGUCUGAGAGGAUGACCAGCCUCACUGGGACUGAGACACGGCCCAGACUCCUACGGGAGGCAGCAGUGGGGAAUAUUGGACAAUGGGCGCAAGCCUGAUCCAGCCAUGCCGCGUGGGUGAUGAAGGCCCUAGGGUUGUAAAGCCCUUUCGGCGGGAAGAUAAUGACGGUACCCGCAGAAGAAGCCCCGGCUAACUUCGUGCCAGCAGCCGC
rnacentral:rRNA from 1 species